rnacentral:rRNA from 1 species
GAGCGGCGAACGGGUGAGUAACACGUGGGUGAUCUGCCCUGUACUUCGGGAUAAGCCUGGGAAACUGGGUCUAAUACCGGAUAUGACCUCCGACUGCAUGGUUGGUGGUGGAAAGAUUUAUCGGUGCAGGAUGGGCCCGCGGCCUAUCAGCUUGUUGGUGGGGUAAUGGCCUACCAAGGCGACGACGGGUAGCCGACCUGAGAGGGUGACCGGCCACACUGGGACUGAGACACGGCCCAGACUCCUACGGGAGGCAGCAGUGGGGAAUAUUGCACAAUGGGCGGAAGCCUGAUGCAGCGACGCCGCGUGAGGGAUGACGGCCUUCGGGUUGUAAACCUCUUUCGACAGGGACGAAGCGUGAGUGACGGUACCUGUAGAAGAAGCACCGGCCAACUACGUGCCAGCAGCCGCGGUAAUACGUAGGGUGCGAGCGUUGUCCGGAAUUACUGGGCGUAAAGAGCUUGUAGGCGGUUCGUCGCGUCGAUCGUGAAAACUGGCGGCUCAACUGCCAGCUUGCGGUCGAUACGGGCGGACUAGAGUACUUCAGGGGAGACUGGAAUUCCU